GGGAGGCAGCAGUGGGGAAUAUUGCGCAAUGGAGGCAACUCUGACGCAGCCAUGCCGCGUGCAGGAAGACGGUCCUAUGGAUUGUAAACUGCUUUUAUACGGGAAUAAUCCCCUUUACGUGUAGAGGGUUGAAUGUACCGUAAGAAUAAGGAUCGGCUAACUCCGUGCCAGCAGCCGCGGUAAUACGGAGGAUCCAAGCGUUAUCCGGAUUUAUUGGGUUUAAAGGGUGCGUAGGCGGAAUUGUAAGUCAGUGGUGAAAUCUUGCAGCUUAACUGUAAAAUAGCCAUUGAUACUGCAGUUCUUGAGUACAGUUGAGGUAGGCGGAAUGUGUAAUGUAGCGGUGAAAUGCUUAGAUAUUACACAGAACACCAAUUGCGUAGGCAGCUUACUAAGUUGUAACUGACGCUGAUGCACGAAAGCGUGGGGAUCGAACAGGAUUAGAUACCCCGGUAGC
rnacentral:rRNA from 1 species